rnacentral:rRNA from 1 species
AUUCCGGAAAAAAGCUAUCUAACAGCAAGCUAUAUAUAAUUUAUUUAGUGCGUGAAAAGCCGCACAUAUAGAAAAAAGACGAGAAGACCCUAGAAAUUUUUUAAAAAUUUAGUAAAUUCUAUUUUGUUGGGGCGACAUAGUAACACUUAACCUACUAUAUCAACAUGCUACUUAUAAGACGUAAGAUAAAAUUACUCUAGGGAUAACAGCAUAAUUUAUUAUUAAGUUUGUGACCUCGAUGUUGGACUAGGAAAUAUUUUAU